rnacentral:rRNA from 1 species
AACGUAGGAGACAAACGUUAUCCGGAGUUACUGGGCGUAAAGGGCGCGUAGGCGGUUUUCUUAAGUUUGAAGUGACAGUGGGUGGCUUAACUACCCAAGGCCUUUUGAAAACUGGGGAACUUGAGGACCAGAGAGGGACAUAGAAUUCCGGGUGGAGUGGUGAAAUGCGUAGAUAUCCGGAGGAAUACCAAAGGCGAAGGCAGUGUCCUGGAGGGUGACUGACGCUGAGGCGCGAAAGCUAGGGGAGCGAACAGG